rnacentral:rRNA from 1 species
UACGGGGGGAGCAAGCGUUGUUCGGAUUUACUGGGCGUAAAGCGCGUGUAGGUGGUCACCCCAGUCGGAUGUGAAAGCCCAGGGCUCAACCCUGGACGUGCAUACGAUACUAGGUGGCUGGAGUCUCGGAGAGGAUAGCGGAAUUCCCGGUGUAGAGGUGAAAUUCGUAGAUAUCGGGAGGAACACCAGUGGCGAAGGCGGCUAUCUGGACGAGUACUGACACUGAGACGCGAAAGCAUGGGGAGCAAACAGG